rnacentral:rRNA from 1 species
GUAGGGUCCAAGCGUUAAUCGGAAUUACUGGGCGUAAAGCGUGCGCAGGCGGUUGUGCGAGACCGAUGUGAAAUCCCCGGGCUUAACCUGGGAAUUGCAUUGGUGACUGCACGGCUAGAGUGUGUCAGAGGGGGGUAGAAUUCCACGUGUAGCAGUGAAAUGCGUAGAGAUGUGGAGGAAUACCGAUGGCGAAGGCAGCCCCCUGGGAUAACACUGACGCUCAUGCACGAAAGCGUGGGGGGAGCAAACAGGAUUAGAUACCCUGGUAGUCCACGCCCCUAAACGAUGUCAACUAGUUGUUGGGGAUUCAUUUCCUUAGUAACGUAGCUAACGCGUGAAGUUGACCGCCUGGGAGUACGGUCGCAAGAUUA